rnacentral:rRNA from 1 species
UACGGGGGGGGCAAGCGUUGUUCGGAAUUACUGGGCGUAAAGGGCUCGUAGGCGGCCAACUAAGUCAGACGUGAAAUCCCUCGGCUUAACCGGGGAACUGCGUCUGAUACUGGAUGGCUUGAGUUUGGGAGAGGGAUGCGGAAUUCCAGGUGUAGCGGUGAAAUGCGUAGAUGUCUGGAGGAACACCGGUGGCGAAGGCGGCAUCCUGGACCAAUACUGACGCUGAGUGAGCGAAAGCCAGGGGAGCAAACGGG